GACGAACGCUGGCGGCGUGCCUAAUCCAUGCAAGUAGAACGCAGUUGCGAACGGGUGAGUAAAGCGUAGGUAACUGCCUCAUAGCGGGGGAUAACUAUUGGGAACGAUAGCUAAUACCGCAUACUGUGAGACGGACCUGCGUUGUAUUAGGUAUUUGGUGAGGUAAAGGCUCACCAAGGCGACGAUACAUAGCCGACCGAAGAGGGUGAUCAGCCACACUGGUACUGGGACAAGGCCCAGACGCAUACGGGAGGAAGAAGUAGGGAAUCUUAGGCAAUGGACGGAAGGCUAACCGAGCAACGCCGCGUGAGUGAAGAAGGUUUGCGGAUCGUAAAGCUCUGUUGUUAGAGAAGCGGUAACUACCCAGAAAGGGACGGCUAACGACGUGCCAGCAGCCGCGGUAAUAC
rnacentral:rRNA from 1 species